GUCUUGGAAAGUCAUGUUUGGGCAUGCCAUGAAGACAAGACACACCUGCUAAAAUCGGUUUCCUAUUGAACAUACUUCUUUCCGUAAGAAAUAGUAUAGUUUGAUUACAUUUUAGGGUAUCUGAGGAGUAUAUAGAAACGUAUUUUGACUUGUUGAAACAAAGUUUAGGGGUCAAUUUUUGGAUUCCUUUCUCUGCAUGUUGAAUGAGUGGAUUACUCAAAUGGAUUGCGCCAACUAAAGACUUUUUGGGAUAUAAAGAAGGAUUUUAUAUAACAAAACGACACUACAUGUUAUAGCUGGGACCCUUUGGAUAACAAAUCAGAGGAAGGUUUUCAAAAAACGAUUGAUGAAUGUCAUGAGCCAACUGAGGAGCCAAGAUCUACUGGUGACCUUCAGCAACAGGAGCAGAGAAACCUCAGCCCCCUCAACCACCAGGAACUUGUGGACCAAGGCCAGGGAGGAGUUGCCAAGGGUGAUGGAGGAUUAGAGAGAGCCUGGAGGUCCAGGGGAGAACCAUGGAGGAAAGGGUAGAUGGAGUUGGUCAACAUGGUCCAGGUGAUGAUUGAGCACUGCAGGGAGAUGAAGGAGAAUAUGGUGGAGCUGUGGGCAACAAUGGAGCAGUAGAGAGUGGAGAAGUGCUCCCAACAGCUCACUGUAAGUUCAUGGUUGGGGGUGUGGAGUAUGUGGACUGUGGUGAGCAUGUCUCUGCCAUUGCUGUAAUGUAAUGUCCUUUAUCAGUAUGUUUCCGUUGAAUUCCUAAUCCUUCAGUGUUCAAAGUGUUUGUAUUAUAAUGGACAACAACGUGUCUCUCCAAUCAUGUAGAACCUCAACAAAGUCCCUGCUGAGCCUCACAGAAAGACAGAAGUUAGGCUCACCUCUUCUGGGCCUCCUUUGUCAUCAAGGACUCUGUUUUGUCAUUUAUAUUAAAACAGUAUAGUAGUAGGCUAUGUAUUUAUUGUCCUGCAUGUCCGUUACGAACAUCCAAGGUGGGACUGUAGCCUAUAUUUCCCCCUUUCCAGAAUAGGCCAACUAAUCUACCAGCUCAUGUUUGUUGCCUAUGUUUUAAACCUAGUUCUUACUUGAUUCAUUAUGAGCCUUGCCUUAUUUGACAGCAUUGUUUGGAAGGAUUUAAUUGUUAGUGGGGAAAACAGGGCAGUGGGCCUUGAGAUAUGCAGUUGUUGAUAUGUGAGUGGACACCUCCAACAACUGUUUUGCAGAGCCAUAUAGUUUGAGAUUUUUUAAACCAAAAGCAUUAUGAUGCAGCCAUUAUGAUGCAUUUUCAUGACAUCACGUAAUGGCGUGGAAGCAGAUACAAUUAUUAAUUAUUAAUUCAAAAAAGAUAUAUCACGGAGAUAUUGUCAGCCCGUGUGAGCCCAACGGUCAACAUUUGGGGGUCUGGCUCAUGGACUAAUUUGACAGUUUCUAAAUUGGCCUACAGAUGGGUGCAUCAUAUGCAUUGUGACAGCACAUAUCCCAGGGAAACCGGACACUCCCAAACACACAACAAAUAGAAAAUUAACAAAAAUGCAAAACACAACAAAAUAUACAGGUACAGUAACUGCCAAAAUAAAGGAAACACUUGAGUAAAUGAGGGAUACAAAGUAUAUUGAAAUCAGGUGCUUCUACAAAGGUGUUGGUCCUGAGUUAAUUAAGCAAUUAACGUCCCAUGCUUAGGGUCAUGUAUAAAAAUGUCCAACGUCCUAUUAUUUUGGCUACCAUGGCUGGAAGAAGAGAUCUCAGUGACUUUGAAAGAGGGGUCUCAAAGGAGCUUAGGGGGCUUAUACACUUAUGGGAGAUUCUAAAGCAGUGCCUGAGACAGCGUUUUACACCACCUGUCACGUUCUGACCUUUAUUUCCUUUGUUUUGUCAUUAUUUAGUAUGGUCAGGGUGUGAGUUGGGUGGGCAGUCUAUGUUUGUUUUUCUAUGAUUUGGGUAUUUCUAUGUUUCGGCCUAGUAUGGUUCUCAAUCAGAGGCAGGUGCCAUUAGUUGUCUCUGAUUGAGAAUCAUACUUAGGUAGCCUGGGUGUCACUGUGUGUUUGUGGGUGAUUGUUCCUGUCUCUGUGUUUGCACCAGAUAGGACUGUUUAGGUUUUCACACGUUUCUUGUUUUUGUAGUCAGUUGUUCAUGUGCACAUUUAUGUAUUAAAAGAACCAUGGACACUUACCACUCCGCAUAUUGGUCCUCUGAUCCUUUACGCCUCUCCUCUUCGGAAGAAGAGGAGGAAAUCCCGGACACCACCAUCAACAAAACACCAAAUGGUGGGACUUCUCGUGGAAGAAUGGUGUCACAUCCCUCCAAUAGAGUUCCAGACACUUGUAGAAUCUAUGCCAAGGUGAAUUUAAGAGGGUUGAGGUCAAUUCCAUAUCAAUUCCAGUAAAUUCAGGAAGUGCACUGAAAUUCUGAUUUGAAUUCCCUUUCUCUUCAGUGCUUUUUAAAGAGUCAAAUUUGGUUUACUUUAUUUACUGGAAUUUAAAUGGAAUUGAC
ensembl:lncRNA